CUAGGUCGGUCCGUAGAGGGAGCCUGCAGCCCGGCCAGUGGCCGGCCUGGGUCUGGCCAGAAGCCCCAAGUUGGACGUAGUAACCGCCUUCCCGAAGCCUCGGGAUGUAGGAGCCGGGGAAAAUCAUCCGGCCUUAGGCUCUGUCUCCAGGCAAAUAUGUUAUUUUCAAGAGGGAAAUGCCAUCAGAAGUAAAGCUCCAGUUAUUAUCAGCCUCUUUACCAAAGCUUGUGAGACUUCUCAGAGUUCAGGGAAGCAGGAAAACCUGAGGAUGUUAGUGGUAUGCAUAGACAAAAGUCUGCUGGUGAAGAACUACCCUACUAGCAACAAGGAUCAUGCAGUAACAUGGACAGGACCAGCUCAGUUCAUACGUAUCAUUUAAGAGAACUCCACCCAUCAUGUCCAUCAAAGCUCGACGUCUUUCAUCAUCCCUCUGGAAAAAUAACCCAAAGUUAGAGGAAAUGGUAGCUGGAGGUUGAAGUGUUCAAGCUCUAUCAGCAUCACCCAAGACCACAGAUCUAAAAUGUUGUUGGGAAGAUGUCAGGAACAAGCAGGAAAAUGAAUCUAUAAUGGUAAUGAUGGUGAUGGCAGAGGGCACGUAUGUGUAUAUGUGUGUGUGUUUGUAAUUAGACUCUUCCCUAAAUGUUUCUGAUUGAUUGCAAAGGAACAUGUUUCUGUAAUAUAAUGUAAAAA